GGAGAGUUGGGCCGCGUGUUCCUGCCGUUGUUUUUCUUACGGCCGGAGACUGAGAAACGAUGCGGAGGAAGAGGGGUACCUUCCACCUCCUCUGGCUUAACGGAUCCACACCGGAACGCCUGUCGGGUUCUGAAGACGGAGCGGUCAGAUUUUGGUCUGCCCUGGUUUUUACGAGUACCCUGCCCUUUUUCAAGCCAAUCAAACCUGCUGAUGUCGAACUUUUAUAGUGUCCUGAACACAGCCCCAUUUUGCCUCCGCGCUCACUGCGCUUCUAGGUUAUACCUUAACUGAAAAUACUUUUCCGGUGUCUGUUCUCAGGGAAAAUGGGAGUAAAUGGCUACGCAUGGAAGGUGGACCUAUUGAAGCCAGUGGAAGCUCCACGAGUGCAGCUGGAGGAGAUCCGGUCAAUCUCGGGGGGCCCUGCACACUGUCCAUGUCAUCGGGAUGGGCCGGGUGUGAGUGGUUUUAAAGCCCCCACCCUCGUAACAGAUGUGACUUCAACAGAAUACUGAUGCUUCCUCGAACCUUUGGGAGAUGGCGGAUUCCGGGGCGUCUGCUCGCUGAAUUCAGUGGCUUUCAGAGGCGAUCUCGCAAAGGAUGGAACAUGCCGGGGUUUUCUUCAAAUGAGCAUUUCAUUUGGAGGCCAGCGUUUUGAGAGGGGACCCAACAUAAAAGGAAAAAUCAAUUCAGGGACGCCGAACCAUCCUUGAAGGAAAAAGCCACACCACCAGCCUGCCCAUCUGAAUUCAGUGCAGACACAUUCCACUUACUCAAAUGUUUAAAAAGGCACUGAAUUAAGUAUUAGGACAAACUUUGCAGAAAAAUGUAAGGACAAAAACAACAAACUAAAGUGUCUGUGUCGAACCCUGAAAAUCUUUAUUUUUGCAGUUUUAAUUUGUUUUUUGUAAUUUUUCAUUUGAAUUUUUCCGGAAGCACACUACACUGGUGUCAGAUUGACCAGAAUUCCCAUAAUGCAAUGGGAUGAUUGAUGGCCAUCACUUAAUCACCGGGCAGGACAAUGUGUAAACCAGUGUUAGGAGCCCGUGGCUUGCGAGCCGAGGGCUGUUUUUCCUAUACGUGCUCCCCUGACCUGUCAGCUAUGUAUGAAAUAGCAGCACGGAGGCCAGUCGUGCAGAGGCCGCACCAAAACAGAGGGCCAGAUGUGCCCCGGGGUGAGCAUUCAGCCGGCUGUCGUAUCCGAAUGCGGACGGGAGCAGAGACGGUCCCAAGGUAACCCCAGGUAAACAAACCAGAAAAGUAAAAAGGAGAAAAGGUGGUGAGAGAUACAAUGGCAUGGUUGGCUGCGUAAUUUUAGCCGGUUUAUCUUCUUUACACAGUCAGGAUGACACAUUAAACUCUACUUUCAAUCAUGUUAACAUCUAAAAAUUAUUAUAAUAAUGUUUUACAAUGA